AAACCAAAGCAAAAGCCUCACUGCACUUCCCAUGCCGCGCGGACCCAACUCAACCGUAAAAUCCCUUCUUCCAGUAAGCCAAAAUUCGUUCCCCCUCUGCAAUUUCUCUUCUUCUCUUCCUCGAGGGUUUCUUCCCUCCCUAGAAUAAUAAUAAUAAUAAUAAUAAUAAUAGAAAAACAAGAUCUCUUCCAUUUUUCACGAUGUGGCGCUCGCUUUGGCGAUCCAUCGAUCGCUUCUCUCUUCAACAUUUCAAAUCUGUAAUUACCGAAUUGCGGCAGAUCAAAGUUGUCAAUGAGCAGAACAGGGAUACAGUGGUAGAUCUUCUACAAACGAUUGUAGAGAUAGUGACAUAUGGUGACAGACAAGAUCCAUUAAUAUUUGAAUGUUUCAUGGAAUACCAAGUUUUAGCAGAGUUUGUACGGGUACUAAAGAUCAGUACAAGUUCAACAAUUGAGGCUCCAUUGCUUCAAUAUCUAAGCAUAAUGAUCCAAAACAUGGAUAGUGAACAUGCAAUUUACUAUUGUUUAAGCAAUGACUAUGUCAACAACAUUGUAGCACAUCCAUAUAACUUCAAUGCAGGAGAUCUUGCUCUUUAUUAUGUGUCUUUUUUAAGAGCAGUGAGUAGCAAAAUAAGCAGAGAUACACUUUGCCUUCUUGUUAAGGUUCAUGGGGAUGUAGUGGUCUCAUUUCCCAUGUACACUGAAGCUCUUAAAUUUGCUCAACAUGAGGAAAAGAUGAUUCAAACAGCUAUACGAGCAUUAACUCUCAACAUAUACAAUAUCUGUGAUGAUAAUGUCUAUCAGUUUAUAACAACUCCUCCAGCCUCAAUUUACUUCUCAGACUUGGUUUCUAGUUUAAGGAAGCAAUGUCUACAACUAGAUGCCCUUGUCAAUUCCUCAGAGGAUAAAUGCACUCAUCAAAGGAACAAGGACAUAUUUCUGAAAACUGAUAAAAUUGUAGACGAUCUUUUCUACUUCAAGGACAUGCUUUCUGUUGGCGAAUCUCGUUUAAGUAGAGUUGUCACCCAAAACCUUCUGAGUUUACUUAUACUCCCCUUGUUGCUUCCACUACUGAAGUUAGGAGAGAAUAAAGGUAGCUACAACAUCUCAGCAGUCACUUCUUUGUACAUAGUUUCUCGCCUUCUUCAAGUUGUUGGUGGAAAACACUUGAUAAAUGGAGUGGCUGGUCUUCUUUUGUAUCAUUAUAUGGCAUUAUGUCAGAGAGAUGCUAUUGCUACAAAUGGGGAUACUGCUGGUAGCACAGGUGAUGCAAGUCCUCUUCUCCACUCGUUGAAUGAUAUAAACAUCAAGGUAUCUGGUCAUGAGGCUGAAGGAGAAAAAGAAAUCAAUAUAAACUAUCUACUUCAACAUUUAAAUGUGCAAACAUCCUCAAAUUCUCAUUUUGAUGGCAGCCCUAGGGAUGAUAAUGUGUGUAUAGAGAGGUUUGGGAUAUUUGCGUAUUUGUUUUCAGACAAUCAUAGUAUAUCAUUAGCAUCUUUAUUUCUAUUGCUUACUCUUGCAGAAAACAAAGAUCUGGAGCAUUUUCCAGCAUCAUUGCUUGGAAUCAGUCAAAGUCAGGGCUUGAUGAACAACUGUGAGUCAGCUUUUCUGAAAGUGGAUGGAAGUAUUCUUGUGAGACUUAUGCCUCAGAUUUUGAAGACAUUAUUGAAGGUUUUAGCAUGCCAACCACCGGUUUCCCCACCAAUGCAGUGGCAUACAGGGUGGUUUUUGAGAAAGCUACUUCAAUGUCAAGGAAAUAAGCUCACUGAUGACAAUAUCCACCUAUUCAAUACUUCAUAUGAGCAGUCCCGUGAAUGUCUUCAAAAGGAACUUGAUGGAUGCUGGUUUGAUCAUAUCCCAGAUACCAUAGGAAAUGAGUGGGGAAGCUGUAAAAAAGCUCUUGAACUACAAUUCCAUGUUAAGGAUCCCUUAUUUACGCUGGAGCUUGAAAUCUGCCAGCAAGCAAUUGAUGGCAAUUUUAACUCUUGCUUUGCUUGGGAGAGGAUGGUUGAUGCAGUGAAGGUUUUCAUUCUCCAUCUUCAACUCAAGGCACUUAUUUUCAUGGGAUGUUUACUUGAAAAACCCUCACUAGAGUCACCAAGUGACAGUGAUUUGGGUAAAACUUAUAGCAGGGAUAUUUCAUCUGCAAGCUUUGGGUCAGAGGUCUCUUUAGGAUCAGGAAUCCCUUGCAGGAUUGCUUUCUCGUAUGCUGGAGUCAGGGAUAUUUACCUACUAGCAGUGGCCCGUGGAAUUUCUGGAAAAUUGAUUCUUGCCGAGAAGCAUCCAUUCCGGAGUCAACGUGGUGUUGUGAUUGCCAUUGCUCCACUGGCAGGGUUAAGCCAGCCAAGGAUAGAUGAGGACCACCCAACAUGGUUACAUCUUCGGAUAAGAGAAUUCGAACCAAAUUUCGUUAAAGCUAAAGGCGGCCAAUCUAAGGUUUCCACUCCUCCUGCUGAUGGGAGAUGGACACUUGGUUUUCAUAGUGCUAAGGCUUGUGAGACUGCUCGGUUAUUGAUUCUUGAGGAGACUUGUAAGCAGAGGUCCUCCGUUGAGAGCAUGCUUGCUCCACUGCUUCGGGAAGAUUAUCUAGUAAAUGUUUUGGAUAGCCAAGGCGAUUAAAGCUCCAGCCCUAGUUCUAGAUUUGGUGUUGUAACUUAUUGAUUUGCAAUCUUCUAUUUUUGGUGUGGCUUACUGGCUUGUACGAAGCAUCUCAUGUAAAAGUCCAUUUGCCGUCUUAUCAUAUUCAGGAGUGCAGCUAUGGAGCCCCUGCCUUCCUGUCUGAAGUUUUGCAUGUGCACGGCCAACAAAGGUACAGACGAAGCUUUUUGACUGCAGAAAAAUACUCACUGGGGAAAAGAAUAAACAGUUGAGAGUUUUGGAUUAUUUGUUGUAAGCAAUUCCUUGGGUCCUACUUCUCUCCUAUUCCUUUCUCUACACCCCUCACAUACUAUUUGCAAUUAUGCAAUUGCUUCAUCAACAUUUUUUUUCUUAUGUCAACUUUUCAUAUUCAUUUUUAUCAUAGGGUAUCAAUACUUCAAAAUAAAAUGAACAGAAGAUAAAUAUUGUAUGUAAUGUGACCGUCUCAACAA